rnacentral:lncRNA from 1 species
CGCGGCUCCCCAGCCCCAGGCCGGGAGGUAGGAAGGCGCCGGCGGGAGUCGGGAUCCUGCUUUGGGGUGUGUGAGUUGGGGUGGGAAGUUAUGCGUGAUGAGGUGAGGCGUGUGUUUGUGGGACCAUCUCGCAACUGCUCGCCGCCCUCUUUUUGCCUGGGGGCCCGAGUUUGCGUUCGUGACCGAGCCCAAGUGUGGAGCUGGAACUUUCGAGGGAGUUAGGGUGUUGAUGACGGGUCUGGUCUGGGAGUGUGCGCGCGGGAGUGGCUGAGAGCUGCGGACCCAGGCACCGGGCGUGCGGUGCGUGAGUGUGAGCGGUGUCCCUUUGCAGCGAGAAAGACCCCUUGCGUAUUUCUGACCAAACUGGUGAGCUCGUGUGAUUUAUGGGCGUCUGAUCUCCC